GUCUACAGCCAAACUAUUACAGUUAAGCCUGUUUUCAUCUGAUCACAGAAGCUAAACAGAGUCAAGUCUGGUCAGUGCUGGAAUGGGAGACCACCUCCAAAUGGCUGAAACCCAGGUGCUGUAGGCA
ensembl:rRNA 5S_rRNA 5S ribosomal RNA